rnacentral:lncRNA from 1 species
CAGACACUUGGAGAGGCAGUAGGAUGGUGACGUCUGCUGCCUCUCGGAGUGACAGGAUCAUGAGAACUGACUCGGUCACCUCAGGCUUACAUAGUUUUUCCAUUUUCCCUCUGAUCAGCAUUUCCCUCCCUGUUUCCGCACUCCUCUGAAUCACUUUUUCCCCCUUUCAUACUUUACUCACACUUUACACUUCUUACCCCAAGAAGAGCGAAGACUAGUAGAAUCUUACUCUCUUGUCCCAUUGAAUUUAGACUGAAUGCAGACAAAAAGAGGAGUCUGUGAAUCUGAUUUCUAUUCUAGGCAGCAGCAAAAAUGCGAACUGCUCUCCGCGGC